CAGUCUCCAAUGUCUAUUUCCUAUUUCCAUCAAGACUAGCUGCAUCACUGAAGCCUGACUAAAACCUCUUAAGAUGCUGAUUCAUAAGAUAUGGGGAUAAGAAUUAAUUAAAGGUAUUGACUACACUUUGGCUCUACAUGUUCACAGCAUUUAAAUGAAUAAAGGAGAACCUGGAGCUAUGGGACUAUUCCUCUGCAGUCUGUCUGGGGUACCACAAGGAUUUCUUCUUUAUGAGCCCAUGAUUUGAAGACACCAUUUUCCUCUCCAGACUUUCUGUCCUUUUGAGGGUAUCUUGUCUUAGGUAAAGCAUUCCACAAAGGGUUUGAUGGGCACUGCAGUAUGACCUUGAAACUGCCACUUCCUGUGAGUUUCCUGGAGAUUUGGAAUGACUUCAAAAUCUGUGAAUCUGGAAUACUCAAAAAGACUGGUGAGGAAGAACCGUAACUUUCUAUUAUCAGAGUGACUGUUUGCAUCUUCUAGUCAAACUCUGCCAAAGUAUUUUUUAAGAAAUCACUAUCCUUGCAACCAUUCCUGCUAAAUAAAAGCCCCUUGCCAAGGACUUGGAAGAAUAUUACAUGGGGCGGAAACCUAGCUGCAACACAAAGUCUCUGUUUUGAUUUGCUCAGAGGUUGGGAUCCUCAGCUAUACAUGACAUGGAAGAAGAACAUCUUAACCUUCUUGCAUGAAGUAGAGAUAGGCAUAAUGCCAUUCAGCACCCGUUCAGACAUAGGAAAACCACUAAUUUCAAGAUGAAUACAGGAUCACAGGAAGGUCAGCUGUGGAAUAAGUUAUCCAGCAGACUACAUCCUACAGAAAUGUCUCCCAUAGAUUGUCGCUCCUCAGUACUUAUAGUUGUCAACUGUCUCUCUUGCACAGAAUGUAAUCCAUUGGCAAUGUCUUUAAAACAGCCAAUUUCCCCUCUACAUGGUGAAAGAAGCUUAUAAGAAAAAUCAACCCCUGGAUAAGUAUCUUAUCCAUUGCAUUUACUUUACCUUUGAAUGGAAGUAUCUUCAUUGACAUGAACAAGGAAAUUUUUCUUAGCCUUUAAGACAAUCCCACUACCUUUUGAAUUUUAAGAUGGAAUAAAAAUAUUUUUGAGAUUGUUCUUGAUUAUGAAAGACCUUAUAUGAGGAUAUAAACACAUCUGGUCUGUGGCACAUUAGCAUUCACAAGAAUUUUGCAAGAAUUGGAGAUAUGUGGUCCUGAUGUGUUUCCUUAUCAGAAUUCGUGAACCAGCAGCAUUUACUUUGGCUUCAGCAGAGUUAACACAAAAAUUUGUAAAAAGGAAAUGAAAAUCAGUUAAAUUAUUAUCAAACAUAGUA